GACGUAGGGCGCGAGCGUUGUCCGGAUUUAUUGGGCGUAAAGAGCUCGUAGGCGGCUUGUUGCGUCAGCUGUGAAAGCCCGGGGCUCAACUCCGGAUCUGCGGUGGGUACGGGCAGACUAGAGUGAUGUAGGGGAGACUGGAAUUCCUGGUGUAGCGGUGAAAUGCGCAGAUAUCAGGAGGAACACCGAUGGCGAAGGCAGGUCUCUGGGCAUUAACUGACACUGAGGAGCGAAAGCAUGGGGAGCGAACAGG
rnacentral:rRNA from 1 species